rnacentral:rRNA from 1 species
AUUGAACGCUGGCGGCAGGCCUAACACAUGCAAGUCGAACGAGUGGCGGACGGGUGAGUAAUGCUUGGGAAUCUAGCUCAUGGAGGGGGAUAACUACGGGAAACUGUAGCUAAUACCGCGUACUAUAGGAGGAGCCCAAGGGGGAUUAGGUGGUUGGUGAGGUAAAGGCUCACCAAGCCGACGAUCUCUAGCUGGUCUGAGAGGAUGAUCAGCCAUACUGGGACUGUGGAACGGCCCAGACUCCUACGGGAGGCAGCAGUGGGGAAUGUUGCACAAUGGGCGCAAGCCGGAUGCAGCCAUGGCGGGUGUAUGAAGAAGGCCUUAGGGUUUUAAAGUACGUUCAGCGGGGAGGCGUUACCCGGAGAAGAAGCACCGGCUAACUACGUGCCAGCAGCCGCGGUAAUAC